AGUGAACGCUGGCGGCAUGCCUAACACAUGCAAGUCGAACGGCAGCACAGUAAGAGCUCGCCCUUACGGGUGGCGAGUGGCGGACGGGUGACGCAUACAUCGGAAACCACUUUUACGUGGAGGAUUACGGAGGGCAACUUACGCUAAUACCUCAUAUGUCCUACCGGUGAAAGCAGUAGAUCUUCGCACCUUUCGCGAUAGAAUGAGCCGGCGCCGGAUUAGCUAGUUGGCGAGGUAAAGGCACACCAAGGCAACGAUCCGUAGCUGACCUGAGAGGAUGAUCGGCCACACUGGAACUGAGACACGGUCCAGACUCCUACGGGAGGCAGCAGUAGGGAAUAUUGGACAAUGGGCGCAAGCCUGACCGAGCCAUGCCGCGUGAGUGAAGAAGGCCUUCGGGUCGUAAAGCCCUUUUGUUAGGGAAGAAAAACAGCAGAUUAAACCACGGCUGUUCUGACGGUACCCAAAGAAUAAGCACCGGCUAACUUCGUG
rnacentral:rRNA from 1 species